GACCUUGUGUUGCAACGGUAGCGCGUAUGACUCCAGAUCAGAAGGUUGCGUGUUCAAAUCACGUAGGGAUCA
rnacentral:tRNA from 1 species